CAGUCGCCGCGGGAAUACGAAGGGUGCAAGCGUUACUCGGAAUUACUGGGCGUAAAGCGUGCGUAGGUGGUGGUUUGAGUCCGUUGUGAAAGCCCUGGGCUCAACCUGGGAAUUGCAGUGGAUACUGGGUCACUAGAGUGUGGUAGAGGAUAGUGGAAUUCCCGGUGUAGCAGUGAAAUGCGUAGAGAUCGGAAGGAACAUCUGUGGCGAAGGCGACUAUCUGGGCCAACACUGACACUGAGGCACGAAAGCGUGGGGAGCAAACAGGAUUAGAUACCCGGGUAGUCCCUGUCUCUUAUAC
rnacentral:rRNA from 1 species